rnacentral:rRNA from 1 species
UAGGGAAUCUUCGGCAAUGGACGAAAGUCUGACCGAGCAACGCCGCGUGAGUGAAGAAGGUUUUCGGAUCGUAAAACUCUGUUGUUAGAGAAGAACAAGGACGUUAGUAACUGAACGUCCCCUGACGGUAUCUAACCAGAAAGCCACGGCUAACUACGUGCCAGCAGCCGCGGUAAUACGUAGGUGGCAAGCGUUGUCCGGAUUUAUUGGGCGUAAAGCGAGCGCAGGCGGUUUCUUAAGUCUGAUGUGAAAGCCCCCGGCUCAACCGGGUAGGGUCAUUGGAAACUGGGAGACUUGAGUGCAGAAGAGGAGAGUGGAAUUCCAUGUGUAGCGGUGAAAUGCGUAGAUAUAUGGAGGAACACCAGUGGCGAAGGCGGCUCUCUGGUCUGUAACUGACGCUGAGGCUCGAAAGCGUGGGGAGCAAACAGG